ACAGGUUUCUUGAAAAAAGGUAAUUUUGUGUAAUUCAAGCAAAGGGAGCAACUUGUGCUGGUGGAGGAUUUGUUCUGUGACCCUUCUCUUCUCUGCACUGCUUUUCUUCCCCUCCUCUUCCUCCUUAAUCCCCGUCUUUCUUGCAUUCCACUUUUUAUCCUGAUCUUCAAGGGCCAACACAAAAUGCUCAGGAAGCUGCCUGGAUUUGCAUUUAGCACAUUUGAAUAUUUAACAUAUUUAGGGCUGAAUUAAAGCAAAGGGAGAUAAAAUUUGGAACAGACCAAAGAUGAUGUGUGUGUGUGCAUGUACAAAGGAAUAAAGGCAAUGUUUGCAGAUACACAGGGAAAAUAAAACAUGGCAAAGAAGACACAAAGAGCCUGGUCCCUUUUUGUUGUUGUAUCAAGCACACUGUGACUAAUGGCAAUAUUUUUUUUUUCCCAUCAGUACCAUAAUAGAAGAAUAAAACUAAUUGUCAUCUGCCACCCACUGGUUGUAAAACAGCUUCUCUUAGAUAGUUCUUACGUAUUCAGUUCAGCUGUCAAAAGGAGCUGCUUUUUUCAUGGUCUGCAAAAUGCAUUUCUGUAUGAACACAGCUCGAUGCAAAGGUCACCCCAUCAAAAAUGUUUUCCCUCAGUAGUGAAUAUAAUGGCAAAAAAGGGGCAUUUUGCAGUCUAUUCUGACGAUUUUACUUGAUAUUUCUUAAAUGGUAGACAGCUGGAGAUUAAAUUCCCUUUGACGGGCAGAAUUUGAGGGACAAUGUUUUGUAGUCUAAUCUGGGUUCCCCCUCCUCUCUCCCAUGCUGUGGUAUGGGCUCUUUAAUGGGUACUUAUGACAGGUAGUAUGAGCCCUAAAAAGAGCAGGCGACAGAAGAAAAUCACCCGUUGUUUUUCAGAUUGGCUAUUGUUCCUUAGGAUAUUAGUAUGUGUUCCUGUGUGUGCUGGUGUUUUAAUGGUAGUUUGGUUCCUGGAUGCUUAAAUUACUCUCCCUGUCAGUGUUUCCAUUUACUUGACAGAUUCCAAAUAUGAAAAGGCUUUGGGAGCCAGCCUACAGAGUGAGGGGGACCACCACAACUCUAAAUAUCACUGCAGACGGUAGACAGAGGAAGGGUUCCUGCUAAUGCUUCCCUGGGAGAUCUGGGGUAAAGUGGUGUGAGUUUACAUUCCAGGUGUACUGGUGCAGCCUGCUCUGUGUGUGCUCCCACCCCGCUUGUAACGGAGCUGGUGGGCAAAAGAAGUCUGACUGUCUUCUGCUGGCUGGCUGAAAGUGAGUGUUACAUCUUUAAGGAUAUGACUUGUACACCUCACCCACGUGUUUACAACAGCUUUGCUAUGUUUUGGAGUCGCAGAGGGAGAGUUUGGAGAAGGCUUCACUCCCUCUGAGAGGAAAUGGUUUCUGCUGUCGUGCUGCCUGGAUUAACACACGGUGACUCUUGCCCAAGGGACUGUGUGCAAUGACAACUGUGGCUCUGCAUCAGCUCCUACCAAAUGCAUGUCAAAUGAUCUUCCAACAAUGGCAAAAGGAAGCUCAGGAUAGCUGAGAACGUAACCCCAGCUGUUGUCCCUCUCCCUUAGAAGGAGGAACAUGUAUUUCAAAGAGACAUUUCUUAUCAUUUCAUCUGUAGUUCGAUUGUGUGCAUUGAUUCAGGCUUCACUCUGCUUAUGUGCACAGAGAUCUUAAAGAAAAAUAUAAAAUGCAAGCACAAAUGGUACUAAGCCUUGAGAUUUAAGGCUUGCCACAAAAGGCAGUCCUCAGGAGAUGUUCAUAUUAUAAUGGUGGUGAGUGAUCAAGGGUAGGUCACUCUCAACAGACAGGAGGUUGUACUGCCUUGAGGAUGGAUGAGUGGUGUCAAUCUGCAGGGAGAACCCCACCUUGCCUCAAUGAAAGGAAUGUAGUGUCACAGUAGUGUGGUGUGGUGGGAUGGGCAGACCCUGUCCUUGAAUUUGAGUGAGCACAGCCAGGGCAUAACAACAGUGUGGAGAUCCGAAGCAUUAGCCUUCAGCUGCGGCCCUCGGUGCAGAUUGAACCUGGAGUGUCUGAAUCAAUAAGCCUGGGCUGUUGGUGUUUGAUCUGUUAAUGAGGAGCAGUAACGGAUGGAGACUUCUGUUGAGCCAGCUUCUGAGACAGCAAGGGGCAGCUGGAAUGAUGUAGAUCACACAUUACCUGCAUGGGGAUACUGUCCAGUAAACCCCGAACAACUUCUCUGGUGGUAGGAGUGUUGCUUUUUCUCAGCCACCUAUCACAAUUGAGAACUUCCAAGUCUCUCCAGGCAUUAAUCUUCUCUUAAAUGUUAGAUUUCCCUUUUUUUAAAGGGCAGCUGUACCACAUGUAAAUUAUUUUAGUUCCAAGUGUUCUCUGACUGCAGCAGAACCUGCUUUGUUCUGUUGUGCUAGCAAAAACGUAGUGACAGGGAUGGGUGUUGAAGCCCCAUGCUGAAUUAACUGGCCUGGAAUUAAGCAGAGGAUGUCUUGCAAGGGCGUUCCAGCUGGGGAAGACCACUCAGUCUGGUCUCUUCUUGCUUCUACGCUUUUGUGCAGUCCGGAGAGCUCUUCUGCCUUAACUUGUGUUGUUCGUGGCUGAGUAACGGGCGGGGUGAAGAAGUCCUUACUUUGCCCCUUCGUGGGUGACAGUGCCACGAGGUGGCAGUGGCCACCAAAUAAUGUCUGGCCAGACGCACAAGGUCCAGGCUCUACAUUUGUGCUCUCUGAUGUAAGGGUGGGAGCGCAAGCCAACGCCUAAAUGCCAGCCAAAGCACUGCUCUGGCUUACACUUGUCCUUUAAUUUUCAAGUAGACCCAAGUUCCCAUUUCUGUUCCAGUGUUGUUUGAGCACCUCAGUAAAGUCAAGGUGAGAGACGACUGAAUUCUUGAUGAACUGUAUAUUGCUUUACUGUGUGCAAACUUCCAGAGACUCUGAAGGGCUCACUCUCAUUCAAGUUGUACCUUCCCUUCAGGAUUGUUUUGGGUGUUUCAUGUAAUGGUGAUUCUUUCUCCUUUCCUAGAUACUCAGUUUUUGGCUGACAUUUUGUUUUUCUAUGUCUGGGCUACGUGGGAUGGAUAGCAGGAACUGAAGCACGAAUCGAAGCUAAAUCGCUUGAGUAGUGGUGGCUCCACUGCCUUCUCACGGGUGUCUGUGUCCAAAGGGACAGAGAAGUUUUCUUGCAGUUCAGUGGGACAGACGUAUAGGGGUGGCUGACCUUCAGGCUUUGUAGUAAACCAAGAGAAUUCCUACUAAUCCUGGGAAAUCUGCCUUCUUAGCCUGGAGUAGCUUGCCCAUGCUCAAACCUACAUCCUGGUGGGCUCUGUAGGCUCGGCCAGUUCAAGAAGCAAACUGGAGGCAGAGAGAUGUCUUUAUUAUCAGCUGAUGGCUUUUUGCUGUCUUUGGUGUAAACAGUGUAAAGCAAGAACCGUGAAUGCAUGGUAGGCAUGUGAAAUGUCUGAUAAAUGGGAAGAAAUUGUUAUGGGUGGCUCUAGGGAGAGUAUCUGGGAAAGGCAGGAUGACUUUGGCAUUCUGUGGUCAAGUUACUGAAUAAUCCGAGGGCAGACCAGGGGAAUGGAAAGAGGGCAGGAAUCACUUCUAUUCUGGUUUUCUGCUGAUAUAUCAAGCAUGACAGCACUAAACUUAAUAAGGCACUGUGAAAUUUUGGGUAAAACAUUGUACAUGGGUGAAAUGUGCUGCCUACUCGUGAUGGAAAGGCUCGUUUUCCAACAAGGGACUCCAUUGCUGUCACGCUGUUGUGGCUAGUAGAUACCAUGUGCUAUAGAUUUCUGUAGGCAAAAGGUUAAAACCUCCCUUUUCAGGUUCUCUGUAAAAUGGAUCUUGCUUUACCCAGCAGGGGUAAUGUGAGGUUAUGUUUGUUGAUAUUGUUGGGGCCCUCAUCUAUUUUUGGGAGAGUGCCGUGAAAGGUUUGAAUGGGAAGUUCUUUCUGUCAAACCAUACCCAUAAUUAAACCAGUCUGUUUAUUCAUGCCUUCAGGCAGGCUUAUUAUUGUUUUUUCUAGCCUUGAUCUAACAAGUUGUACAAUGUGGUCUGCUACACAUCUGCUGCUCUCUGGGUGCUGGGGAGGGUGGACACCUGGUGCCAGUGGAGGAAGAGGAGUGGAGUGGGAACAGUCGCCUCAUUGGGCAUUUCCUUUGAAGAUAAGGACCCUGCAUGGCCAUUUGUGAAACAUUUCAUUUGAAGCAGCAGCAUGGGUAGGUUUGUUCUGAAGCAGGAGACAUUAUAAAACUGCAGGUUGGCCAAGUGCUUAAUGAGGUUCCAUGGCUUGUGACAGGUGAACUCAUCAGGCAGCAACACUGGCUGCAUCACUGUGCCACACGCUGGUGGUUGCUCUUGGAGACACAUUUGCACAGUGUACCUGGUGCACGUGUUGCUCUUCCUCAGUGUAAGACAAAGACUAGUUCCGUCAUGUCUCGUGGGUCAGACAGGAAAAUUACACAUGUAUUCACAUGCAAGGACCAUGACUGGUUCUGCUCUUCUGAAGUCUGGGAUAGAAAGGGGGAAUGUCUCCCUGUGGACAGUUUGGUAGGAAGGGGAAGCAACCUACUGGAGAUGCCUGAGCACUUCUUCUGCCAGUGUGGACACUUCAGUCUUUGCAAUACAUAAAUCACAGAAAAUGUGUAUGCUUUUCUCAUUGUGUCAAAGCCAGAAAGCCCUGACCCAGCUGGAGGAAAAUAACAAUUUGAACAGAGAUCUCAUCAAGUGAAAUGUUCCAGCUCAUUAGAAAACAACCUACUGUAUGGUUGAAAGGUGCCUGUAAUGCAUAAAAAGAAAUGGCUCACUCUUGCACUGGAAAAUCUGAAGUAGAAUAGGCAGAUGUGACCUCUUCUCUUCAUGCUGGAAAGUUACUGCCAAUUAACUUGGUGUUCUUGCCAUUUUAGAGUGGUUACUGGGCAGUCAGUGAUUUGGGAGCAAGUGUAAAUGUGGCUCAGUUGCUUAUCAAGUUGGAGCAAAGUCUCUUGGGUGGAAGUAUGUGUAAUGAAUGGGAAAGCACAUGAACAAGCAAUAUUGUCUGGCUUUUUAACUGGCAUUUUCCAGGUGUCUGGAAGGCUUGGGAGGGAAGAAUUCCAAGUGAACCAUGUUGCCUGACCCUUGCAUUGAAGGGAAUUAUUGUCUUGUGGGCGAGGUACUGGGAGGGGAGAUCACCUCUUUGUGGUGGGCUGCCAUGUUAGAGGUCUUUUGACUAGGAUGUGGCCUUCGGGAGACAACUCUUUCGUAAGCAAAAGGUAAUUAGGCCCAGCAUCUCUGGUACUGCAGCCUUUCCAGAGAGUGCACCCAACGAGAGAGAAGCUCCUCAGACAAGGAGACAGUGGUAGCAGCGGCUGGAGGGAUCUGCAGUCUGCACGACUAAUUGUCAUGUGCUUCACUCACGAGUGCCUUAAUAUACCUUUUUUCUUCAGCAAAUCCCAUAGCUCUAUAAAAAUAAAGAGGGUCUGUUUCUGAAUGUGAGCUCAGGAGCUCUGAGCAUGGCCUGGAGGUCCCCAGGCUCCCGUAGGCCCUGCCAGGGCAGCCAGAGCCAAGGCCUGGCUUGGGAAGUUGCUCCUUGGCUUAGGGCUCCUGUUUCACAGCAGGACACACAUCAGGCAGAGGCCCUCAGCCCCGAGGCAGGCCAUGCGGGAUGGGAACACUGCAAUAUGUUUAUUUGGCGUGCUUGGACGUGUAGGGACAGACGAAGCAGAUUAAAGUGUAUCACCCAGCAGUGAUAUGCUUCCCAGAGGGGAAGUCUGCCACUUCUCCAGGGAAGCUAUUUCAAUGGUUUAAUUACUCUCUGUGCUGGGAAACAAGCUUUUAUUACAAAGCUGAAUUUGUUUGACUUUGGUUUCUGCCCAUUGGGUCCUAUUUUGACGAACCUUACUCUUGGCUAGCUCUUCCAUGCGCAAGUACCUGUGAGUAUCAGUUGGGUUUAUCCCUUUGUUUUAUUCAGACACAUUAAAUUCUUUAUGUCUGUCUCUGCAGGAAUUGUUCUCCAGGCCCUGAUUUCCUUUCAGCUCUCGUUUAAACUCUUUUCUGUGUUUUCUCAUUCUCUGAAAGUUGACUCUUUGGUCUGGACUCAGUUCUUCUAGGUUAUACAUGCAAAUUCAAGGUUGCUCUUGUGCUGCCUUCCUCUUCAGUCACACAUGAACAGCAUCAGCACUGCAGAUAUCAUGACUCCCAAUCUUUACCUUUUGUCUUGUAAACACAAUAUUGCCUGCAGCCUUGCAUUGUGUUCCGCAGGAGCAGCCCAGCACAGCCCACGCUCUCCCCCGCAGACGGUGCAGACCUGUGGCCAUUGGCACAGCCUGCCAGGUUGCUGUCUCCUACCACGUCUGUUGUCUGCGUGUUUCUAGCCCUCAUGCAAGUGGGAAAGUUCUCCCUACCACCUCAAUUUCACAACAAUUUGCUUUGGAACUUAAUUGAUGUUUAUCAGCAUUAGAAAACGUCUUCAGGCUUGGCAGGGUUUUAGCAGAGUGGGGACACGGGAACUGCUCUCAGUCCUUCUGUGGAGGUUUUACCAAGGUAAAGGUGGAGAAGGGGAUGUGGAGGGGAAGCUGGAUCUGAUACCCACCACGAAGGCAUUUGGUUGCUGCUGGGAUGCCUUGUUUGAGGUGUAUGGGCUUUUAGGAGCAGUUGCAGAGAGGAGCUACUGAACGUGAUUCAAAUCCAACAUGUGCUGUGCUGCUGUCCAGGACCCUUCUCUAGGAUUAAUAUUUUCCUUCACUAUGAGCUUUCUUUUAUUUGGCCACUCACCACAAGAAGUGGUUAACCCCUUGAAAACCCUCCAAAAGUGGAUAAAGUUGCAGGGAUUUGGUAUUUAACUAAAGGUUAAAUUAAUUCAUCUGACCCCCUGUGCAGGGUAACCCACAUGAGCAAAAUCUGGGAGGACCAGAGAAGGGCAGUUGUGGCCUGUGAGACCCAGUUUGCACAUCAGAAUAGUACAUGUCUGAUGGCAAUGAAACAGUGGUGGAAGGAAUAAACAGGUCUCGUUCUUCCCAUCAGUUCCACGUCUCUACUGUCUGCAGUGUCUGAGUCCCACUAAAGCUGCUGGGAUUUCAAUGCAAUACUUGGGCAUGUGCUUGGUUUCUAAUUUCUCAGAUUUAGGAGGGAAUGAAAUGUGAAAUACUGUGGUGGAGAUCUUUCAUUAAAAAAAAUAGCACAGAAACCUGAACCAGAAGACAGGGUAUUUUUUUUUUAGUUUGUGCAAGGUUUAUGUUUUUCUGUUUAAACACAAAUAUUUCUCCUUGACACCCUGCUUGAGGACAAAUAAUGUGAUUGCUCCCUGUGGCUAUGCUGGUUUCCUCAUUUGAGUCUGCUCUUAUAAAUGCAGUCAGAUUAAAAAAUAACCCACCACAAUAAAAACCAUGGCAGACGGUUGGGUGGAGAUGGGACGUUAAACGUUGUGAAGAGCAUGGAAACCCUGUGUCAGCCCAGAGCUUGUGAAGGGAAAACCAUCACUUGGCAGAGACAGCUUAAUAGGCUUGUGAAAUCUGGCACCAUCAAAACCACGAUUUGGGUUUUCUCAAAGCACGGCAGGGGAGCCUUGAGAAUUGACAGCUGUAUUAUCUGUCUUCAGUCGUUCUGAGAGCAACAUCAGGAGCAGGCUGGAAACAGUUCAGAAAAUAAUUUCAUAUUGAGGGUUUGCUGGGGGCAGAAAUGUAUAGGGAAAAUUGAAAUGGAAGAAUUAAUAACAGUAUCAAUAACCUUCCUACAGCAACUAUCAGGCAUGACAUGAAAAUGACUUGAAAGUUGUCAUCUACUGUGUAUUUUAUUCCCAUCAGGAAGGUUUGAGGGAUGAGAGGAGAAUUCAAACAAGGCAAUUAGAAGACUGGAGCGUGUUGGGGAAAGGUGGAAUGGCUGGUGUGUACAAUCUUUCAAUGCGUUUUUCCCUGCCAGACACAGGGGCUGGGCCAAAGUCUGAUAUAGUGGAGCAAAUACUAGAGUGACUCCAGUGUCGCAGUGUCCGCUGGCGUGCACAGGGACAGCCUGUGCAAGACGUUGAUCCUUGCAGCAGAAGACACAACGCAGCUCCUUCUAGAAGUGCAUCCUGGAGGCAGCGGGCUCUGGUGAGGAUUUCUCACUCGCCACCAAAAUCUGCGAGUCUUUGAGUAUGAUUCAAAUUCACUGAAGUCAUUGCCAAGAUUUCCAGUAGUUUUCUGGGCUGUGGACCAACCCUGCUUUGUCCAGUCCAGUUAUGUGGGUGCAGGGGAUGGUUAAACAUCCCACUUUUUUUCUAUCAGUGUAUGUCGACUCUCAGCCAUUUGUACUCAUUUCAUUUUCUCCAAGAUGACUCACAGCCAGGAGUUCACUGUACUUGUCUCAGGCUUUGGGACUUUGGGCUCAAACUGGAACUAUCCACAGCUACUGGAAAAGAGAGCCUGGCAUGUAGGUUAAACCACUUAUAAAUGAUGGCAUGGCUGAGGCAGCCAAGCUCUGUUUCAAAAAGAGACUUAGUCACUUCAGAAAUGAAACCGCACUGAAAAUGUUCCCCUUGACGAGGUCCAAAUGUUUUUCAGACAUUACCUAAGCCAUCAGGCUCUGAUGGGACAGACUGCCGCGAUCCCCUUUGCCAGUUGUGGGUCAUUAAUGUGCAGAGGAGAAGGGAUUCGAUUUUCAGACUAUUCCGGAGACAACGAGUUUCUAUUGCAGUUGGUGUUCAAAGUUAACCUGCAAAUCAUCCAGAAUUGACGGUGGGUUGUGGCCUAUAUAUAGGUAUAUUUUUGCCACAAAACUGGUCAGACUUGCAGUGUUUCCAAGGGAAAAAGGAAGGAGUGGAGCUUGCAGUCUCCAUUUUCUGAAUUAGUGAUUGUAUAUGUGAGAGCUUCAGAAAACUGAUCAGAGAAACUAGCAAAGAAGAAAAACCACUUGCAUGAAUGUAGGGUGAAUGUCAAGGCACCAGCUCAGCUUCAAUAUCUUUUUAUAUGCUGAGGAGAAAAAUGGUACGAGAUAAGCAAGUUAGUUGCUUUAGCAGGAAGUCAUUGCUUUCUCUUUUGCUCUCAGAGCAGUGCCUCUGAAAUUAAUUGGUGACUCCUUCGUAAUGGAGGUAGAUAUAAAUAAAGAGGUUUAUGCUUUGGGAUGGAGCACAGGCACAUGCCUUUUCAAAAGGAAAGUCUCAUUGUAUUCACUGUUCACAGUGUUCGGUGGGUCUACUUGCCAAAAUAACCGGCAGGAACCCGAAGUGAGGAGGGACCUCUGUGGCACCGAGUCUGUCAUUCUAGGUCCUCUCUCCCUCUUGCUUUUCUUCUGUGAUAUGUAGUCGGCUGGGAGUUAUUCAAAGGUACCUUCAGAAGAUCAAAGUCAGAUCCAGUCUUUAUAUAACAGCAUUCAUGCCUCUGCUAUUCAGGUUAUGCAGAUAUUAAUGAGGUGCGUUUUAUAUGGCCUGACAUUCAUGUCUUCUGUUUACUCUAAUGAGAUUGUUCUGCUGUUCCUCUCCUUGUAAUAAGCAACAGAGUCUCCGAGAUCAUGUUCCACAAAGACAUUUUUCCACUUUAGGAUUAGCAAGAGCAGAAGUAGGAAUGAUGAUUUUAACAGGCAUGCGACAUCAGGAUCUUGUGUCUGAUGCCUUCAGAGCGGCGCAUUCUCUGCUGCUUCACCUACUCUAUAUUAUCACAGGUUUCAGGCUAACACACACAUUUCUUGCCCUUUUAUCUCUCUAAUUGUUUUCACAAGUUCAUUAAUGAUUUUGCAAAAGCUGUAGUGAAACUAAAUGACAUGCUCAUAAACCUUUAAAGGAGAAUUCAGCCGUCCGGUGAUGGGAAAAGUCUCAUUAGUCUUUUCAAAUGGCUCCCAGCAGGUUUUCCUGCAGACUCAAACUUGCUAGGUGCAUAAAUAUGCUUCUCUAAUUCAAUUGUCUGUGCUGAUUGUGUGACAACCGAAGUUUGCUCUGCUUCAAGCAGCCACUAAAAUCACCUUUCUAUAGCAGAUGUUCUGAGAGCCAGAACCGGGCUGAAUUCUGAGGGUCUUUUGCAGUCUGUGGACUGUCUUGGGCUAUUGAUGUCACCUACACUUUGUUUCCAAGAAAAUCCUCUUUGGAAAGAGGAUUUUUUGGUAGCUCUCUGGAAAAUCUCUGCGUUUCUCUCUGAGCUUGGAUUAUUGAGGUGAUGAUUAUAUAGUAUUCAUAAAAUAUAGGACAGCGAGGGGGUUUUGCUGGGACAAGGACUCAGCGGGGGCAGAGCAGGAUGGGCUCUGGGUGCAGGGACAUCCAGGGGAGCCAGCCCAGAGGGCUCAGGACCUCUGCAAAGUGCAGGGGACACCCCGAAGUGCCAGGGCAGCACAUCCCCACCCGCCCUCAUCUCAAAGCUGAUCUUUCUAUGCUGAGAGAAUGAUUUUGCAAGUCUUGAGAGUGCUUUCCUUUGAGCUCUUUGAGAUGAGGAUAUUGCUUCCAAACGAACCUUAAUUGAAGUAUUUGAUUUCAGUUUUGUAUGUGGAGCUAAUUUAUGUGACACAAUUAAAAUACAUUUUAUUUAUGCAAUAAGAACUUAGAACUGGAGUAGGUGAUUAAAACAACUGAACAGACUCUUCUGAAACUUUAACUUUGCUAAAAGCAUAAUGAUUCUUUGACAUGAUAUUCUAGUUGAGCAUUUUUGAAAGUAAGUUAAAUAUGAGGAUGCAUUUUAGAUAAACAAUUUACCGCACAAGCUCUAUUUUAUGUCUGACACUAGAGACCUUGAAAGAGUUUUAAUUGGACUAGGCAGGGGAUACUAAUAUAUGUUUUGGGCCUUAUUGCUCAGAGUUGGCUGAAUGAAGUAGAACUGUCUGGUAGUGUCACUCCAAAGGGGUGAAAACCCCCUCUGGCUGUGUUCAUUGUGUGUCACAUUGUCACCUCUCCAUGUAAAGAUACCAGCACCAAAACAACAUUUUCACAUUAGGAAGUGAGCGGUCCUUGGUGACACAGAGAAAAACAAACCUUUUUCCCCAAGGAAGCAAAAUAAGCACAUUCAAACUCAAAACCAGAAACCAAACUGCAUUGAGUUGGGCUCGUGACCGAAAAAUCGCUUGGCUUAGCACACAGCAGAGGCCUGAAACAGCCCUGUAACGCAGCAGCGAGCACAACUGUGAUGUACGUGCCUUGUACAGGCCUCUCUUGCAAAAGGGAUUCAGUGGUAACUCUGUUUUUAAGGCCUCGCUUUGUCUGAGGCUUUGCCUGAAGUUGUAAAUGGCUAUUUCUGGUUGUUAUAACUGACAGCUGUCGUACCCUGCACUUUUGCACAGCGAUGCGUGGAUUGCGGUAAAGUGCAACCGUCAGCCCUGGCUAGCCCAGAACACAACACACGUCUGCUGACAUUUAACCUGAACUCUGCUGAAAAGGGCAAAGACCUUCCCAGCGUUAAUUGCUCAGCUGAAAUAUCUGGGGCUGGAUGCUGCAUACGUGGGACUCUCCUGACCAUGGCAAGCGCUGGCCGAGCGUGGCCAGGCUGUGGAAGGGCUGUUACCCCUCCACAGCCUCUGCGUCUGGGCAGAGCUGGGGAUCCUCCUCCUCUCCUCCCCAGGGCCCACCGGUGCCUCUGUUCCCAUCUGUGCACCCCCAUUAGCUUCAUCAGCUGGAUGGGCUCCCAUCACUUUAUGGUUUCUCUGGGAUCAGAUUGAGAGCUCAGUCAUAGAAUCAUCACAGUAUCACAGUAUGUUUGGGAUUGGAAGUGACCUCAAAAGAUCAUCUAGUCCAAUCCCCCUGCUGGAGCAGGAACGCCUAGGUGAGGUGGCACAGGAACAUGUCCAGGCGGGUUUUGAAUGUCUCCAGAGAAGGAGACUCCACAACCUCCCUGGGCAGCCUGUUCCAGGCUCUGCCACCCUCACCAUGAAGAAGUUUUUUCUCAAAUUUAAGUGGAACCUCUUGUGUUCCAGCUUGAUCCCAUUACUCCUUGUCCUAUCAUUGUUUGCCACUGAGAAGAGCCUGGCUCCAUCCUCAUGGCACUCACCCAGCAGUUCCCUGUCCUUCUUGAACUGAGGGGCCCAGAACUGGACACAAUAUUCCAGAUGUGGUCUCACCAGGGCGGAGUAGAGGGGAAAGAGGACCUCUCUCGAUCUACUAACCACCCUCCUUGUAACACAUCCCAGGUACCAUUGGCCUUCCUGGCCACAAGGGCACAGUGCUGGCUCAUGGUCAUCCUGUUGUCCACCAGGACCCCCAGGUCCCUUUCCCCUACAUUGCUCUCUAAUAUGUAAUUUUCCAUCCUAUACUGGAACCUGGGGUUUUUCCUGCCCAGAUGCAGGACUCUACACUUUCCCUUGUUAAAUUUCAUUAGGUUAUUCCCCGCCUAACUCUACAGCCUGUCCAGGUCUCUGAUGGCAGCACAGCUUCCAGUGUUGGCCACUCCUCCCAGCUUAGUGUCAUCAGCAAACUUGCUGAUAGUACACUCUAUUCCCUCGUCUAAAUCGUUAAUGAAUAUAUUGAAUAAUAUUGGCCCCAGUACUGACCCCUGAGUCAUUUGGUUGGAAGAGACCCUCAAGAUCAUCAUGUCCAACCAUAACCCACCCCUGGCACUGCCCCAUGUCUUGAGAACCUCAUGUCCGUCUGUCCAACCCUCCAGGGAUAGUGACUCCAGCACUGCCUUGGGCAGCCUGUUCCAGUGCCCCACAGCCCUUUUUCCUCGUGUCCAAUCUGAACAUUCCCUGGUGCAACUUGAGGCUGUUUCCAUCUGGUCCAAUGCUUUGCAGAAAGGGAGGCCACAACGAAGUGCUAGUUUCUACAGGUCUCCCAAACUGGAUUUUGUUGGGCUCCAUCUGAAACUGCAGAAACAGGAUGCUAAGUUUCCAUUUUAAAAUCUGUUUGGCCAAUCUGGUUUAUUUCUCAAUGAAUUAUUCAGGGUACUGGAUGAAACUCCUCAAAGUUUGUUGUUGUUGUUGUUGCUGCUGGUUUUUGUUUGUAAAAAUGUUGGAAUCUUGACCUGACUUCUUGGGAUUAACUGGGGAAAGGCAAAGCUCUUCUUUUUCCUAGAACAAAAAAAGUCCACACAAAUCUUUGGAGCCCUCAUUAUCUGAAAGACACAAUUUUCAGUCACUCAUCACUUUGGCUAUUUUAGUAAUUUUUUUUAGUGUCUAGCUUUGAUUCAUUGUUCUCAGUUUCUGUAACAGCAAAUUUCUCCUUUCUGACCACAUAGUUAUGCUGCUGCAUUUGUGUGUGCAAAGUGUUCCGAAAUCUUUGCGUAUGAGGUACAGUUCAGUGGAAAGUCCUUUUGUUACACAUGAGAAAAGAAUUUGCAAUUAAUUAAGUUAUUGGAUGAAUUCCUCCUUUGUUCUGUCUGAAAAUGGCCCGUGAGCAGCUUGUUAAGUUCUCAAACGAUUCAUUACAACAAAUUGUUUGUGAGUUUCUUCCCUAGAUAAUUCCUGGUCUGACCAGAACUAACAGAUCACGAUGUAUGGGUGGAAUUCAUAAUUUCUUAGUUUUUUGAGUGGCUAAUGUAUGGAGAGAGGUUCCUCAUUGAGUGAACGGCAGGUAGCACAAGACAUGACUCAGAACUUGCUCUUGAUCUGUGCUUUAUACUGAGCUGUUGGGCUGUGACCUGAGUUUUCAUUGUUUGGAGGGAGUGAGCCCAAGGAGUAGAAGUCGGCUGUUAACACAGAAGUGAACACUGGCUAAUGAAGAUGGAGGUGUUGGCAUUCAGACUGUUGCUGGUUUGCUCAUCUGUGGUCUCAAUAUCUUUGUUCCCCGUUAAAACCAACUAGGCAGCAUAUGCCACAAUGUUCACUUUGUCAAGAUGUUGGCUGUCCUUCUAGAUUAGUGCAGCUCCCAGACAAACUGCAUCGGCAUCAACAAUUAAUUCAUUCUGCCUCUGUUAAUUAAAAUAAGCUGAGACUAUUGCAUGUUAUCGUGGCUUCUAAAAGCAUACAUGUGUCUAUCAGCCUGUUCCCAUGGCUGAUCUUUGUUGACUGAUGCGUGUUGUGUCUGCAUAAAGGUUGCUAAAUCUGGAGUGAAACAGGAACAACAAUUAGUGACACCCAGAAGAUUUCUUGCUUCUCAGCUGUCCCUGGCUCAGCGGCAGCUUACAGCUCUACCAUCUCUUGUGUGAAACAUUAAAAUUAAAGAGUUGUCCCUUGUUGCUUGGGUGGUGGAGUGAGAACCGAGGCAGGAGUCAGCAGAUGGCACUGUUAGACCCUGCUGGGAGGCAGGGCAGGGACAGCUCUGGAAGGUCUUCUUGGCUCCUCUCCUGGGUGAAUUUCUCCUAAGCGACAGGUGGACCUUUUGUCCCCUUCACCUCUCCUGCCGGGUCUGGUGGUGAGGCGGGGGAAUGCGUCACUCGUGUUUCAGCAGGACUUCCUGCUGGAAGGGUCCGACCUCUGACCGUGCUUUGCCACCUCUGCUCCGGGACCAAGUCAGACAAGGCAGCUGGCAUCAGCUCCACAGACACCUUCCUCCGUGCAAGACAACCGAUGAAAGUGCCUGGCUGGGCUGCAGGAGGACAGGAGGUGACAUUUCAGUUUUGAUUUCUGUGCAGGUCACUGGGGCGUGUUUGAGAGCCGAGGCUGCGAGGGACCAGCAUGGGGACAGCACGCUGUGCAGAUAGGCACCGGGCUUUUCUGGGCAAGCCUGGCUUGUUCUGAGUGGCAGAAACUCUCUGAUACUUCAGAACUGCAAUAUGAUCUUAUGAAGAAGAGCCAGUUCUGCACUGCUGCUGAGAUAGCCUCAUUUCCUAAGGGCUGGUUCCUAGAAAACUAACCUGUAUUGCUGUGAAUUGAGGAUUUGUGGUUUAACGGUUAUCAUGGGAGCAGCUCCUGGAAUCCCUCUGCACAGUCACCAUCCUGCACAGGCUCUUCUCUGAGCAAUGCCUUUGUUCCAGUUCAGGAGCAGACACCGAGCUUGACAUCACGUUCAUCUGUCCCUGCACUGCAAUAGUGUCAGCAACAUUCAGUACGUUGGGGAUUUUUGACUGCUGACUUUCAAUGACAUCUGGAGCAAUCUCCAUGGCCAAUGUGAGAUACUCCUCUGUGCUAAAGAAUAUAAAAAAACACUGUUGCAUUUAAUAUAUUAGAGUAUAUGAGACACAGCAGCAGUUUGUGUAAUUUAUUGGGAAGACAACAAUGUUCCGUAGCCUGUUCUGUAAAUAUAAGCAUGAACAAAUCAUGCUGCAUCCCACUGUAAAUUUCCUUUGAUGCUAAAGUGUCUAAAUUAAUAAAUGCAGCAAUAAUGGAUUAAUUCAAACAAUCAGUUCUAUCACAAGCUACUUGGUCAUUAAGACGGGGCACACUUGGCUGCUCUGACAAGGAUAUAGCACUGCAAAUGAUGGUGACAUGGGACAGAACCACAUCACUUAGGGUAUGGCCUGAAGCCCUGGAGUUUGCAGGACGUGGUUAGUCCCGGGGAGGCUGGAGAAAGGGGCUGACUCAGUUUAUGUACUGUAGACCACCCUCUCUGCACCACUUCUGAAUCUAUUAGCGGCAACCACUCCUUGGCCUCACUUUUUAAAGAUGUAUCAGGCACAAUAUAGGUGAUUCCUGUGUUGUAGUAUCUGAAUUGUCUUGUCUUGGAUCCUUAUUCACUUUUACUGUCUUCUUUGUAUCUGGAGGGUGGGAACAGGGAGAAUUGCUCUCAGUUUCUUUGGACAGAUUACCGAACAGUGAGAAACGAACACGCAUUUUUAAAACCACUAUUACUUUUUGCCUGUGAUGAGGCUGACAGAAAAGCUGGCUGAUGGGAGGCAGCGUGGCGUGUCUGUUAGCACAUCUCGUACAAAGUUUGAUGUAGCCAGCUGGCAAACACCAGCGCCUCUCCUGAGCUCAUAGCUUACCCUGUUUGUGUUGACAUUUCUGGCAAGGAAAGGUAAAGAGUUAUUCCAGCUGCAAUAACCUGUGAGGUCUCUCUUUGUGUUUCUCUUAAUUUGCCUGAAAUUAAAGUCUCACUCAGCAGGAGCGAUUCACAUGCCAGCAUUUGCCAGUGUUAGCACUGCCUGAGGGGACGUGCAGCAGGAGGAUGCUGUGGGAGAUGGCACCUGAUCUGCUCCCAGUUCCGUAACUGCAUACAAAUCCACACAGCUUACACCUCCCUUUCCUCACUCCUAAAACCUGACUUUGUUUUGACCUGGCUCUCUCCAAACACGGCACAGUGCUGCAGUCCCCAUGUGGGCCCUGCGUGUUGCAGGAGAGGCAGGUGUGGGGAUGUUCAAGGAGCUCCUGGAGAACAGGAGGCUGAGGGGAGACCUCUCUCUCUACGACUGCCUGAAAGAAGGUUGGAGCAUGGAGGGCAUUGGGCUCUUCUCUCAAGUAGCAAGUGCCAGGACCAGAGGAAACGGCCUCAAGUUGCGCCAGGAGAGGUUGAGGUUGGAUCUGGGAACAAUUUCUUCCCCAAAGGGCUGUGGGGCAUUGGAACAGGCUGCCCAGGUCAGUGCUGGAGUCACCAUCCCUGGAGGGCUGGACAGAUGGACUUGAGGUUCUCAGGACACGGGGCAGUGCCAGGGGUGGGUUGUGGUUGGGCUCGAUGAUCUUGAGGGUCUCUUCCAGCCAAAAUGAUUCUUUGAUUCUAUAAAUGAGUAUCUUGGCCACAUGUCCUUGCACAGGGACUUGCCGGUUUAGCAGGGAGGGCUCUCUGCUCCCAUGUCUGUCACCCUUCUCAGCCCAUUCACAGCAUUCUGUGCUUGUGCUGUUUGCACUUUGGAGUCAAUUGGGAUUGUUUUUUAUUGCUCGUUUGGUGUUAACUGCUAGAUAACAUAGAGAAGCUUCACCUGAACUUUUGCCCAAACACAAGGGAUGUUGCUGAUGGGCAAAGGCUGUGUAAAAACACUCUGAACUCUGAAGAAGCUGACGGUGGUUUCCUUUGAACUAUCAGAGUCCAUUUCAGCUUCAGAUGCCUUCGCACACAGCCCUAGACUUUAUCGUUACUAUUGAGGUCUCUGGGCCUAACUCUCUUUUCCUGCCAGACUUACCCUGAGCUGAGAUUGGAAUGAUUUUCCUCUUGAUUGUUACAUGUCAGAGAAAGACCCAAAUCUGAUUUCCAACAUGAACCUAGUAUAUAUAUCAAAACAAAACCAGAACCAAAAAAAAAAAAAAAGAAAACAAGCCCAAACUGACAGGUCUUUUGCAAUACAGUGGAAAUAUAGGGCAAAAUUGGUUGGAGUUAUUAGGAAGCUUUGCUUUCAUUGCAAUGGUCUUUGGAUAGAGGGUAUAAUGGCAUGGCAUUUUGUCUUAGCAUAUGAAGUCUUAUUAAAAAUAUAGAGUGGAUGUGGGAUAUUAGACUGCUUUUUAAAUGAUAAAAGAGCCAGUGCUGAUGUCUGAAGAACAUUUUAUUUCAUUUUAAAUAGAUGCCAGAAAAAAAAUCUACUGUUUUAGCAAUCCAAAUUUUGCUGAACAUAGUUCUGAUUAAAUACUUUGUCCUUUGAAUUGCUGCUGUGGUUUAGGUGGAAUACAUCAAGUAGUUCUGUCAUUAUCUGAUGUUCUUUAAUAGACUUAACUGGAGCCUUAUUUAUGGAUCAAAUAUAUGGGCCAAAUAGCAGUAAGAAAUCCUUCUUCUUUCUGACAAGAUGAUGUACAUACCAGACUUUCUCAGCUGAGGAAGUGCAUUCACAUAUAGGUAUAAGCCUCAUGUCAACCUCUUCCAUUUUCCCCACCCCAAGAAAGGAAAGGAUACUUGUUCUUCCUACCAUGUUGGAUAUGUUGUAGAGGUUGGUGGACAGUACACAUGCUCCUGCAUACGUGCAAUAGUAAGGCCAUGAUAGCACUAGUUAAAAAGUCCACAAUUAAAACUUUAGAAGAGGAAAAUGCUUAAAAAGUGGCGAAGCAUCAAGGCUCUGAGGAAGAAAGUUCUGUCUUAACUCCUUGGCGUUUUUAGCCAAGCAGAUGUUUGGGGAUGGCAAGUCUUCCUGAAAACUUAUUGAUAAGACCAGCUAAAUAAAUGUAUAUAGUUUCAAAGUCAAUUUUUCUCCAUCUCCCCCACAAAAAUAGUUCUUGUUGAUCUUUCUCUUAUUAAGCAAGUUUGUCAGGAGAUUAGAUGCAACACAGUAGUUAAUUGCCAAAUUUAUUACAUAUUAAGGAACUAGUUAUCUAAAAAAGAAGUCCUCCAGACACCUGUUAAGUUCUGGAGAGGGCAUUUUCUCAUUGCGUAAGAGGUAAACUUCAGUUUGAAUCAAUAGUUAGUGUUCAGUAGCAGGGUCCCAGGAGGUGUGUGAGUUAUUGAUAAGAGGGUUUAGUUGUCUUUGUUUCAAGUAUUUUGUUAUUUGUAUCUCUGAGUCCCCCCAAAGCAGUAAAUUGUCAGACUUGGUUGAAGUGUUAGUAGUUCUGCUGUCAAAUCUAGUGGAUCAGGUUGUGUGGCUCCUCAAACAAGUUUGAAAGCCUUCACACCUUCAUGUGUCGCUGCUGGGAGCCUUUGUCAAAACCAUCUGAUGUGAUGUUGACGUUAGAGUUGUAAAAGAGAAGAAACAACUCUUAAUGCUGACAGCAUGGGAUGCUAUGAUGCUGAAGCAAUGGACUGAAUCGUGGUAUGAGUGAUUUGUAAACAUAUAAAGGUCUAUGUUUUCCAUGUUUGGGUGGGACCUCUGCGCAGGUACCUAGCUUGAGCAGCAUUUGGCUUGGCAUAUUUCCCUCAUGCUAAAAUAAUAGAGUGAACCCACCACCAAACUCUUUUAAGUCGCACUUCUCUUUAAGAAAUCUAAACAUUGUUCUGCCGUAAGCAGAACCCCCCGCGACAGCAACCUUGGAUAACCGAGAGGCCGGAAGAUGAGAGCCACUGCUUCUGUCGUUCCCACGAUCUUGUCAGCCCUUGGAAGCCACUGGUGGCAGGUACUGGCUCAAUCCGUGCUGGACCACACCAGUGCGAGAGCUGAGGGGCAGAUCCAUGUGCGAGCAAGUUGUGAUGGACCAUGCAGAGAGUUGCUGGAAAUUGCUUUGUGAAUCCUUUUUUCUCUCUGGCAUGAUAAGUAAACAAAAAUAAUGUCUCGUCCUUGAGAGCUGACAAUGUGCCUUCACAGAGAGGAGAGGAAAUUACAAAAUUAAAGGAGACCCAAAAGAUUUCACUCUCUUGCCAGCAUCCUAUGUUUCCUUAGGCUUUGCUCCAGAGCUUGCAUUGUCUGUACUGUUAAUAAUACUCUGUUUUCCCCUGGAAGCCAGCUAGUUUUAUAUUCUUGCCUCUGUUUAAAAAUGUGACCUUUAGCUUUUGAGCUUUCAUAAUUGCUGUUAAUCUGUUCAAUAAGGAAAAACAAUAGAAAGGGCAAAAAUUAUAAUCUGGUCUGUCUGACUUCAGGCUUUGACCCUAGCAUUUUCUCUUUCAGAAGCGCAUCUCCCCCACCCUUGGGAAUGCUGUCCCUGCCUGGGGUGCUCGUCCUGUGUGCACCCGCUGAAGCCUGUGGAGAAGCAAACAGGCUUCCUCUUGUUUCUAAUUAGGCCUCAGUGUCCUGCCCUUCCCACUGCCUUUUUGACCUGCUAUUUGUAUUCGGGAGCCACAACCUCCUGCACCCAGGAGGCCCCUUGGUGUCAGGCGUUCCCUGGAGCUGUGCCUGGGGUCUGGCUUUACUAUUCAGAACCUCAGACUCAGUCAAUGCAAGAUGCUAGUCCUGUGAUCAAAGCUGACCCUAAACUACCUUGUACUUUCUUGUAUGCCUUGCAAUUUCAGAGAAAAAUGCAUAGUUUUAAAACUCCAGAUAUCUGAGUGACGGGAAGUUGGUUUUUCAACCCUUUUCAAGUAGUUUCACUCUGUCACUUCUCCCAAGGUGGCUGCAGACCAGUCUUUGUCCAUCAAGAGUCCCACUUCCAAAACACCUUGUAUUAUAAUACAGAACAAAGUGAACAAAUAUUGAAGAGAAAGCUGGAGGCCAGAAGAAAAUGCCUUUUCUCUCAUCUUAGCCAUGCAUACCAUGAAAGCAUCUUUCCAGCACCUAGUGCUUGUGUAAGUCUCCUCUUUAAUGCCUGAAAGCUCUGCUUGCCUCUGCCUUGCUGGCUGACUGAACUUGGGCUGCCUGUGUCUCCUUCCAGGAUAACAGCCAGGAAAUUAUUACAGUGCAAUUUAAAGACCAUAAAACACAGGACGAGCAGAUGGCAGGUCACGUCUCCUUCCCAUGAACAGCCUAUGUCACUGUGGCACUGCCCCAGCGCAUGCUGAGCCAAGCUUACCAAGUCCAAACAAGAAGCAUCAGCAGCGGAAAUGAUGUCUGUCAAGGCAACAUCCCACCAGCACAGACCUUACGACUGUGACAAAGAAUUUGGGCAUUGGCAAGAAGCUUUAGUGACAAUGAACUCCAAAUACCUGCUGCUAAGAUAAUCACAAUGAUCUGUCUGCCAGCUUUUUCCUAAUGUGCAUUUUCUAAUUCAUUGUGGGAGGCAAAAUCCUUUGACUGGUGGAAUGAAGACGUGGCACUGUGACUAUAAUUUACAUUGUUAAAUAACUGGAAGGAGCAGCUAUCAAAAGCUGGAAAUCCUACCCGAAGCAGAAUGGCUGCCUUCACAGAUUAUUCCUUCUUUUUUUUUUUUU